UCUUCAUAAUUUCAAAUUCCCAAAAUCAAAACCAAUUUUCCCCCAAACUCUCUCUCUAAAACUUCAAGAAACAACAAGAAGAAUGUGAAAGAUAGGGUUGAACGAGCAAGCUUCUCUACUCAAAUUUGUUGGAUUUCAUCUCCAAGAAAGUGAGAAAGGAGAUGAAGAUGAUACUGAAAGUGGGAAAGAUGCUGAAAAGGAAACUGCAAAAGAUGAUGAAGAGUUGAUAAUAUUAAGGCAUCGAUAAGCAAUUGUGAACGCAGAUCAAAAGUAUGACAUGAUGUUAUCGAAAUUUUUAGUAUUGACAAGUUUCUGGUGAAGAUGCCUAUAGAUAACCCUACAAAUUUGACUGUUAAAAUUGUUAUAAAAUCGGUAUGGACACCAAAUUUGAUGAUUUUCAAAAGACACUUAGGGUUGAAAAUUGGAGGAUUUCUUUAAGUCCAGUUGUUCUGGACACUUCGUUAUCGGAGGAUAACAAUGUACAAUUUCAAAUAAAUGUAAUGUAUGAUCUUGUCAUGAACUUGAUCAACUAUAAGGGUGAUGAUGUUUCGAAGGAACACGAAGAUGGAUGGAAUUUGAAUUAA